rnacentral:rRNA from 1 species
AUUGAACGCUGGCGGCAGGCCUAACACAUGCAAGUCGAGCGGAUGAAGGGAGCUUGCUCCUGGAUUCAGCGGCGGACGGGUGAGUAAUGCCUAGGAAUCUGCCUGGUAGUGGGGGAUAACGUCCGGAAACGGGCGCUAAUACCGCAUACGUCCUGAGGGAGAAAGUGGGGGAUCUUCGGUCCUCACGCUAUCAGAUGAGCCUAGGUCGGAUUAGCUAGUUGGUGGGGUAAAGGCCUACCAAGGCGACGAUCCGUAACUGGUCUGAGAGGAUGAUCAGUCACACUGGAACUGAGACGAGGUCCAGACUCCUAAGGGAGGCAGCAGUGGGGAAUAUUGGACAAUGGGCGAAAGCAUGAUCCAGCAAUGCCGCGUGUGUGAAGAAGGUCUUCGGAUUGUAAAGCACUUUAAGUUGGGAGGAAGGGCAGUAAGUUAAUACCUUGCUGUUUUGACGUUACCAACAGAAUAAGCACCGGCUAACUUCGUG